CGGGACACGUGGUAUCCUGUCUGAAUAUGGGGGGACCAUCCUCCAAGGCUAAAUACUCCUGACUGACCGAUAGUGAACCAGUACCGUGAGGGAAAGGCGAAAAGAACCCCGGCGAGGGGAGUGAAAAAGAACCUGAAACCGUGUACGUACAAGCAGUGGGAGCACGCUUCGGCGUGUGACUGCGUACCUUUUGUAUAAUGGGUCAGCGACUUAUAUUCUGUAGCAAGGUUAACCGAAUAGGGGAGCCGAAGGGAAACCGAGUCUUAACUGGGCGUUAAGUUGCAGGGUAUAGACCCGAAACCCGGUGAUCUAGCCAUGGGCAGGUUGAAGGUUGGGUAACACUAACUGGAGGACCGAACCGACUAAUGUUGAAAAAUUAGCGGAUGACUUGUGGCUGGGGGUGAAAGGCCAAUCAAACCGGGAGAUAGCUGGUUCUCCCCGAAAGCUAUUUAGGUAGCGCCUCGUGAAUUCAUCUCCGGGGGUAGAGCACUGUUUCGGCAAGGGGGUCAUCCCGACUUACCAACCCGAUGCAAACUGCGAAUACCGGAGAAUGUUAUCACGGGAGACACACGGCGGGUGCUAACGUCCGUCGUGAAGAGGGAAACAACCCAGACCGCCAGCUAAGGUCCCAAAGUCAUGGUUAAGUGGGAAACGAUGUGGGAAGGCCCAGACAGCCAGGAUGUUGGCUUAGAAGCAGCCAUCAUUUAAAGAAAGCGUAAUAGCUCACUGGUCGAGUCGGCCUGCGCGGAAGAUGUAACGGGGCUAAACCAUGCACCGAAGCUGCGGCAGCGACACUAUGUGUUGUUGGGUAGGGGAGCGUUCUGUAAGCCUGUGAAGGUGUACUGUGAGGUAUGCUGGAGGUAUCAGAAGUGCGAAUGCUGACAUAAGUAACGAUAAAGCGGGUGAAAAGCCCGCUCGCCGGAAGACCAAGGGUUCCUGUCCAACGUUAAUCGGGGCAGGGUGAGUCGACCCCUAAGGCGAGGCCGAAAGGCGUAGUCGAUGGGAAACAGGUUAAUAUUCCUGUACUUGGUGUUACUGCGAAGGGGGGACGGAGAAGGCUAUGUUGGCCGGGCGACGGUUGUCCCGGUUUAAGCGUGUAGGCUGGUUUUCCAGGCAAAUCCGGAAAAUCAAGGCUGAGGCGUGAUGACGAGGCACUACGGUGCUGAAGCAACAAAUGCCCUGCUUCCAGGAAAAGCCUCUAAGCAUCAGGUAACAUCAAAUCGUACCCCAAACCGACACAGGUGGUCAGGUAGAGAAUACCAAGGCGCUUGAGAGAACUCGGGUGAAGGAACUAGGCAAAAUGGUGCCGUAACUUCGGGAGAAGG
rnacentral:rRNA from 1 species